AUUCUUGCUAUUUGUUAUGAAUGAAAUUUUCUCUUUCUCUACAGGUUUGAGCAGAAGUUCAUGUUACAUUUGCACAUUACAAUUGUAUUUUACCUCUUGCUCUCUGUCUCAUCUUUGUCUUCCUGACAGAUUUAAGUAUUUCUUAUUAAAUAUCAUGUCCCACACAAAACUUUCAUUGCAUUUGGAUGAAUUUGUUCAUAUCAAAACUGGGUUGCAGGUAUGUGAAUUUCCUAACUUGUAUAAUGAAUUUUUAUGGAGUCAAACUCUGAUUAGAGGAGAAAAGUUUUGCGGAUUGAACUUUAAAUAUUUUCUACCUUAUGUAAUAGCUAAUAGUUUCAAUAUUGAUAGUGUGAAAUUAUGCUUUAUCCGGCUACUGACCUACUGUGGGUGUAUCUUUUCCUUUUAUUUUAUAUUUUAUAUUUUUCACAUGGGAGGCAAUGAAGUGAUACUUGUUUUGCUGUUAUUAUCAGUUAUGAAGUAAGCAUGACUUUCUCAUGUUGACUAUUUGUAGUCUCAUAUUUCAAAUUAUCAUUCAAGCUGGUCUUCUCAAAAAGGGUUUAUGUUCAGUUCAGGAUGAGAGUGCAGGUCAACUUCUCAUCUUUUCUCAUAGAAGGAAUGCCUAUAAGGCUGUAAUAUCUAAAAUUUCUUUUCCCUUCUUUUGUAUUUUACUUGGAACACUGGCCCCUGCUUUGCUAAGAUGACUCACCAGGAAUAAUGCAUUAUUUUUAUGUGUUUAUGUUCAUGUAUUAGUAGCACCGAAGUUUCUUUGUAUGAUUCUCUUGUGCUUGAUCGAAUAUGAGUCACUAAGUAGCAUUAUUUAGGUCAUUUGCCAAGCGACCUUUAGAAAGGAGACAUGUGACCAAAGGCGUUCCAUUUUGUAUACACACUAUUUUACCCUAUAUGCUAAUUGAAGUAUAGAUUUCAACCAGUCUUUAUUUCCUUUUUUUUAAUUAAAAGGAAUUUUUAUGUUACAUGGUUAUAUUCUUGUACAAUGUUUCACACAUCCUUGAUUGCAGGUCUGGUAGUUUCUGUUGUGGAUCCUCAACCUGGUGAAACUAUUAUUGAUUGUUGUGCUGCUCCUGGCGGAAAGACCCUCUACAUGGCCUCUCAUUUAAGUGGCCAAGGUAGCUAGAGCAUAAUUAAUCUUAAUCAUGCUGUAAGGAGGAGCACACAUCUUAGCAAAGGAAUGAAGCCCAUCUCUGCAUUGUUCGUAAUCUUGUCUCUUCUCCUGGUUGCCAACAUCAACUUAAGCCAUGCAAGAAAAGACCUGGGGGAUUAUUGGAAGAAAAUGAUGAAUGACCAACCUAUGCCUGAAGCAAUUAAAGAAAAUUGUUCAAGUUCAACAAGUAUCAGAUGCAAGAACGGAUCAUUUUAUAAGGGACUUCAAUAUAAAGCCUAAUGUCAUAUUAUAUCACACCCAUGUUAACGUUGUGUCCAAGAAGCAGAAGCAAAAGGCUUUUGACCACAAG